CCUACGGGAGGCAGCAGUGGGGAAUUUUGGACAAUGGGGGGCAACCCUGAUCCAGCCAUUCCGCGUGAGUGAAGAAGGCCUUCGGGUUGUAAAGCUCUUUCGCAAGGGAAGAAAACUUAUGAUCGAAUAAAUCAUGAGGUUGACGGUACCUUGAUAAGAAGCACCGGCUAACUACGUGCCAGCAGCCGCGGUAAUACGUAGGGUGCGAGCGUUAAUCGGAAUUACUGGGCGUAAAGCGUGCGCAGGCGGUUUUGUAAGUCGGAUGUGAAAUCCCCGGGCUCAACCUGGGAACUGCGUUCGAAACUGCAAGGCUAGAGUGUGUCAGAGGGGGGUAGAAUUCCACGUGUAGCAGUGAAAUGCGUAGAGAUGUGGAGGAAUACCAAAUGGCGAAGGCAGCCCCCUGGGAUAACACUGACGCUCAUGCACGAAAGCGUGGGGAGCAAACAGGAUUAGAUACCCUGGUAGUCCACGCCCUAAAACGAUGUCAACUAGUUGUUGGUAGAGUAAAAAUCUAUGAGUAACGUAGCUAACGCGUGAAGUUGACCGCCUGGGGAGUACGGUCGCAAAGAUUUAAAAACNCAAAAUGAAGUAGACGGCGUGAGAGUGACCGAACGGACGACGACGAAGGGAAGGUUAGGAG
rnacentral:rRNA from 1 species